GAUGAAUGCUGGCGGCGUGCCUAACACAUGCAAGUCGAGCGGCAGCGAGGGGUGCUUGCACCCUGUCGGCGAGCGGCGAACGGCUGAGUAACGCGUAGGAAUUUGCCCCAAAGUGAGGAAUAACUGCCCGAAAGGGUAGCUAAUGCCGCAUAUGGUCUUCGGAUUAAAGGAUUUAUCCGCUUUGGGAGAAGCCUGCGUUGGAUUAGGUUGUUGGUAGGGUAAUGGCCUACCAAGCCGACGAUCCAUAGCUGGUCUGAGAGGAUGAUCAGCCAGACUGGAACUGAGACACGGUCCAGACUCCUACGGGAGGCAGCAGUGAGGAAUCUUCCACAAUGGGCGAAAGCCUGAUGGCGCAACGCCGCGUGAAGGAUGAAGGCCUUCGGGUUGUAAACUUCUUUUAUGAGUGAAGAAUAUGACGGUAACUCAUGAAUAAGCACCGGCUAACUACGUG
rnacentral:rRNA from 1 species